rnacentral:rRNA from 1 species
GCCCAAGGAUGGGUCUGCGGCCUAUCAGGUAGUAGUGGGUGUAAUGUACCUACUAGCCUACGACGGGUACGGGUUGUGAGAGCAAGAGCCCGGAGAUGGAUUCUGAGACAUGAAUCCAGGCCCUACGGGGCGCAGCAGGCGCGAAAACUUUACAAUGCGGGAAACCGUGAUAAGGGGACACCGAGUGCCAGCAUCCUAUGCUGGCUGUCCGGGUGUGUAAAAUACACCUGUUAGCAAGGGCCGGGCAAGACCGGUGCCAGCCGCCGCGGUAACACCGGCGGCCCGAGUGGUGAUCGUGAUUAUUGGGUCUAAAGGGUCCGUAGCCGGUUUGGUCAGUCCUCCGGGAAAUCUGACAGCUUAACUGUUAGGCUUUCGGAGGAUACUGCCAGACUUGGAACCGGGAGAGGUAAGAGGUACUACAGGGGUAGGAGUGAAAUCUUGUAAUCCCUGUGGGACCACCUGUGGCGAAGGCGUCUUACCAGAACGGGUUCGACGGUGAGGGACGAAAGCUGGGGGCACGAACCGGAUUAGAUACCCGGGUAGUCCCAGCCGU